GCUCGAGCCGACGUCGAGACCUGGAAGCGCCUAGGCACGCGUCAGUUCAGCGCGACCGUUUCCAAGAGCUGA
rnacentral:misc_RNA from 1 species